GCCCCUGUUGAUGAAUGGUAAAUCAUCCACUUGCGUUUAAAGACGGCCGCGAGAGUUAGGCUCGUGAAAGAGGGAGGUUCGAAUCCUCCCAGGGGCA